rnacentral:lncRNA from 1 species
AUGCCUGAUUUGUCUGUGCUGCAUCAGGAUAUUAGGUCCAUGCUAAAGCCCUAUGAGUGCUCUCUCCCACCAGGCUCCAGAGCUGAGUCCAUCUUUGUGCUUGAGAAAGAACCAUGCAUUUGCAACAGGUCCCCUCUGUGCUUAGGUGGUAGGUUAAAUAAUUUCUGUGUGUCUGCCUCAUUCUUUUUUUUUUUUUUCCUUCUCUUUUUCUCCUUUUUUUUUUUUUUUUUUUUUUUCUCCAGAGAGCAACCCCAAAUGUGUGUUGCCUGUUUAGAGUGGCCCCACAGCAGCAUGUGCAAGUCUGCCCUGUGCAUGGGAGGUUGGAGGACAGCAGUUAGUCUCUGUGAGAAGUGCACAGAAGCUCCAGUUUCCUGUCUAAUGCCGGCUGAGGAAUUACCAACAGCUUAUCGCCCCAGCAAGUUUUUAAGUGAUGCGGAAUGCCAUUUACUGUGA